rnacentral:ncRNA from 1 species
UAGCGCCAGAUCCACUUUGGAUGACGAGGAUGAUGAUUAUCGAAUAUUCGGCGGGUAUCAUCACGGAAUUGUGAAUCGUUAGAAAUACUUUUAAAAAAUAAAAUUAAGAUUAUAACAAAGGGG